rnacentral:lncRNA from 10 species
GUGGGUGUGCUCCUGGCAUCUGGUGGGCAGAGGCCAGAGAUGCUGCUAAACAUCCUCCAAGGUAUAAGACAAACCUCCAUGGCAAAGAAUUAUAGAGUCCAAAAUGUUGAUGGCACUGAAGUUGUGAAAUCCUGUUCUAGAGAAAUAAAGAUCACUUAGCACAGAUAUUUACUGAGCAUUCACUGUUUUGUAUCUAAUGCACCACAUAUGCAAUGUUAAAUUAUAAAUCAUAAGCCAGUAUCUUCCACAGGGAGAUUUCUUUAGUGCUUAGAGAAAGGAUUGACGUUACGUUCCAUCCUAUAUAAAUUAGACUCACAGCAAAUGAUAAAUGCUCUGAAAUAAUUUUUUUUUCCUUUGGCUUAUGUUUUUUUUUUUUUUGUAGAAAUCUUGGUUGCAAUUUACUAACAGAACUGAGCUUUGGAACAUCUCAGGCCUGGCACAGAAUGCAGUUUUUACACAAGUUGUAAGUGAAAUAGAAGAUGAAUAAGUGUAAACAUCUAUUUAUGUAUAAAAACUCAUACAAUUAUUGGUUAGCUGGGUAUAAGCCCAUUAUGAACUCUGAAAAGUAUGUCUUAAGAUCCAUUUGUUUUUUUCAAAUGGGGAAACUAAGGUACAAAGAGGCCAAGAGACUUACAUAGCUUAUAUAUGACCUGCUCUGCUUGUCCUAGUUCUGACCUAUGGCAUGGGCAAGAAAAGGCAUCAAACAAGUGACCCCCAAAUUAGUCUUAUUCCUGGGUGGGGUGGCUCAGGCCUGUAAUCACAGAACUUUGGGAGCCGAGGCGGGUGGAUCACCUGAGGUCAGGAGUUCAACACCAGCCUGGCCAACAUAGUGAAACCCUGUCCCUACUAAAAAUGCAAAAAAAUUAGCUGGUUGUGGCGGUGCAGUUUUUUGCUCCCUGGGGGACUUUGUGUUAAGCUUUCUUCCUUGCAGCUAAAUGUUGCAGACAUUUAAGCAGUUAUAAACUCUGCAUAUGAGCAGGAAUCAAAGUUAAAUCCAAAGUGUAGGGCCAGGCAUAGUGUUUAUAUUAAGCAAUUGUGCCAAAAAAAAGAAAAAAUUUUGUGAAGAAAAUAC